UGGCGGCGUGCCUAAUACAUGCAAGUCGAGCGAACGGACGAGAAGCUUGCUUCUCUGAUGUUAGCGGCGGACGGGUGAGUAACACGUGGAUAACCUACCUAUAAGACUGGGAUAACUUCGGGAAACCGGAGCUAAUACCGGAUAAUAUUUUGAACCGCAUGGUUCAAAAGUGAAAGACGGUCUUGCUGUCACUUAUAGAUGGAUCCGCGCUGCAUUAGCUAGUUGGUAAGGUAACGGCUUACCAAGGCAACGAUGCAUAGCCGACCUGAGAGGGUGAUCGGCCACACUGGAACUGAGACACGGUCCAGACUCCUACGGGAGGCAGCAGUAGGGAAUCUUCCGCAAUGGGCGAAAGCCUGACGGAGCAACGCCGCGUGAGUGAUGAAGGUCUUCGGAUCGUAAAACUCUGUUAUUAGGGAAGAACAUAUGUGUAAGUAACUGUGCACAUCUUGACGGUACCUAAUCAGAAAGCCACGGCUAACUACGUGCCAGCAGCCGCGGUAAUACGUAGGUGGCAAGCGUUAUCCGGAAUUAUUGGGCGUGAAGCGCGCGUAGGCGGUUUUUUAAGUCUGAUGUGAAAGCCCACGGCUCAACCGUGGAGGGUCAUUGGAAACUGGAAAACUUGAGUGCAGAAGAGGAAAGUGGAAUUCCAUGUGUAGCGGUGAAAUGCGCAGAGAUAUGGAGGAACACCAGUGGCGAAGGCGACUUUCUGGUCUGUAACUGACGCUGAUGUGCGAAAGCGUGGGGAUCAAACAGGAUUAGAUACCCUGGUAGUCCACGCCGUAAACGAUGAGUGCUAAGUGUUAGGGGGUUUCCGCCCCUUAGUGCUGCAGCUAACGCAUUAAGCACUCCGCCUGGGGAGUACGACCGCAAGGUUGAAACUCAAAGGAAUUGACGGGGACCCGCACAAGCGGUGGAGCAUGUGGUUUAAUUCGAAGCAACGCGAAGAACCUUACCAAAUCUUGACAUCCUUUGACAACUCUAGAGAUAGAGCCUUCCCCUUCGGGGGACAAAGUGACAGGUGGUGCAUGGUUGUCGUCAGCUCGUGUCGUGAGAUGUUGGGUUAAGUCCCGCAACGAGCGCAACCCUUAAGCUUAGUUGCCAUCAUUAAGUUGGGCACUCUAAGUUGACUGCCGGUGACAAACCGGAGGAAGGUGGGGAUGACGUCAAAUCAUCAUGCCCCUUAUGAUUUGGGCUACACACGUGCUACAAUGGACAAUACAAAGGGCAGCGAAACCGCGAGGUCAAGCAAAUCCCAUAAAGUUGUUCUCAGUUCGGAUUGUAGUCUGCAACUCGACUACAUGAAGCUGGAAUCGCUAGUAAUCGUAGAUCAGCAUGCUACGGUGAAUACGUUCCCGGGUCU
rnacentral:rRNA from 1 species